UACGUAGGGUCCAAGCGUUGUUCGGAUUUACUGGGCGUAAAGGGCGCGUAGGCGGCGCGGUAAGUCACUUGUGAAAUCUCUGAGCUUAACUCAGAACGGCCAAGUGAUACUGCAGUGCUAGAGUGUGGAAGGGGCAAUCGGAAUUCUUGGUGUAGCGGUGAAAUGCGUAGAUAUCAAGAGGAACACCUGAGGUGAAGACGGGUUGCUGGGCCAACACUGACGCUGAUGCGCGAAAGCCAGGGGAGCAAACGGG
rnacentral:rRNA from 1 species